rnacentral:rRNA from 1 species
UACGAAGGGAGCUAGCGUUGCUCGGAAUCACUGGGCGUAAAGGGUGCGUAGGCGGGUCUUUAAGUCAGGGGUGAAAUCCUGGAGCUCAACUCCAGAACUGCCUUUGAUACUGAAGAUCUUGAGUUCGGGAGAGGUGAGUGGAACUGCGAGUGUAGGGGUGAAAUUCGUAGAUAUUCGCAAGAACACCAGUGGCGAAGGCGGCUCACUGGCCCGAUACUGACGCUGAGGCACGAAAGCGUGGGGAGCAAACAGG